CUCCUCACCUGCUUCAUUCUCUUGGGAGCUAUACAAGCAGUACCCACCAGCUGCCCUGAUGGAGAAGGCUCCACUGUGACACUAGAGAAAAGCUGGGCUGAGAAAGCAGUGACUACAAACAACCAGGUACUUCUGAAGAGCCAGAAAGUCAAGUGAAGGAAGACUAUGGCACCUGGGUGAAAUCACCUGUGUUCUAUGGCUGCCAGAACAUCAGCUGGAAUAAAUAAAUAGCACUAUGGUAUGUUUACCUUGGGC